AAAGUUUGACAAAAAAAUUCUGCAUUUUUAAAAGUCAGAAACUAUUUUAAAUCAAUUAAAAAUGCAUAAAAAUAACCUAAUUGAACUAAAAUCUCAAAUAAAUCUCAAAUCAAUUAAUAAAUUGAUGAGAAUAUUUUUCAUAGAUCCAUCAUCAUUCAAAGAGGUUGAGAAAAUAUUUUUGUAUUUUUUGAAUAUCAAAAACUAUUUAAAAUGAAUUAAAAAUAACCAGAAAAGAGAAAAUUAUUAAAAAAUAAAAAAUUAUAAAAUAAAAAAUAUUAAAAAUCAUUUUUAGAAAGUAGAAAAUAAAAGAGAAAUAACACAAUUGGUCCCAUAAUUUUUGGACCAAUAAUGAGAGAGAUAUGAAUUUUAAAAAAUGAAAUGGAAUUAAAAAAAUAGAAUGGAAAUUAAAAUCAGAAUUAAAAAAUAAGGAAAAA
rnacentral:lncRNA from 1 species